rnacentral:rRNA from 1 species
GAUGAACGCUGGCGGCGUGCUUAACACAUGCAAGUCGAACGGAAAGGCUCCUGCUUGCAGGGGUACUCGAGUGGCGAACGGGUGAGUAACACGUGGGUGAUCUGCCCUGCACUUCGGGAUAAGCCUGGGAAACUGGGUCUAAUACCGGAUAGGACGAUGUUUUGGAUGCCAUUGUGGAAAGUUUUUCGGUGUGGGAUUAGCUCGCGGCCUAUCAGCUUGUUGGUGGGGUAAUGGCCUACGAAGGCGUCGACGGGUAGCCGGCCUGAGAGGGUGUACGGCCACAUUGGGACUGAGAUACGGCCCAGACUCCUACGGGAGGCAGAAGUGGGGAAUAUUGCACAAUGGGCGCAAGCCUGAUGAAGCGACGCCGCGUGGGGGAUGACGGCCUUCGGGUUGUAAACUACUUUCGCUAGGGACGAAGCGCAAGUGACGGUACCUGGAGAAGAAGCACCGGCUAACUACGUG